rnacentral:rRNA from 1 species
GCGGAGGAAAAGAAACCAACAGGGAUUGCCUCAGUAACGGCGAGUGAAGCGGCAACAGCUCAAAUUUGAAAUCUGACCCCUUCGGGGCCCGAGUUGUAAUUUGUAGAGGGUGUUUCGGGCGCGGCGCCGGUCUAAGUUCCUUGGAACAGGACGUCAUAGAGGGUGAGAAUCCCGUAUGUGACCGGCGAUCAAGCCCAUGUGAAGCCCCUUCGACGAGUCGAGUUGUUUGGGAAUGCAGCUCAAAAUGGGUGGUAAAUUCCAUCUAAAGCUAAAUAUUGGCCGGAGACCGAUAGCGGACAAGUAGAGUGAUCGAAAGAUGAAAAGCACUUUGGAAAGAGAGUCAAACAGUACGUGAAAUUGUUGAAAGGGAAGCGCUUGCAAUCAGACCGGUCCGGGGGUGAUCAGCCGCUGCUCGUCAGCUGGUGCACUCGCCCCCGAUCCGGCCAGCAUCGGUUUGGGCGGUGGGAGAAAAGCCCCGGGAAUGUAGCUUCUUUCGGGGAGUCUUAUAGCCCGGGGCGCAAUGCCGCCCGCCCGGACCGAGGACCGCGCUUCGGCUAGGAUGCUGGCGUAAUGGUUGCAAGCGACCCGUCUUGAAACACGGACCAAGGAGUCUAACAUCUAUGCGAGUGUUUGGGUGUCAAACUCAGGCGCGGAAUGAAAGUGAACGGAGGUGGGAGCCUGUCAAACGGCGCACCAUCGACCGAUCCAGAUGUCUUCGGAUGGAUUUGAGUAUGAGCAUAGCUGUUGGGACCCGAAAGAUGGUGAACUAUGCCCGGAUAGGGUGAAGCCAGAGGAAACUCUGGUGGAGGCUCGCAGCGGUUCUGACGUGCAAAUCGAUCGUCAAAUCUAGGCAUAGGGGCGAAAGACCC